GACGAACGCUGGCGGCGUGCUUAACACAUGCAAGUCGAACGGAAAGGCCCUGCUUUUGUGGGGUGCUCGAUUGGCGAACGGGUGAGUAACACGUGAGUAACCUGCCCUUGACUUUGGGAUAACUUCAGGAAACUGGGGCUAAUACCGGAUAGGAGCUCCUGCUGCAUGUUGGGGGUUGGAAAGUUUCGGCGGUUGUGGAUGGACUCGAGGGUUAUCAGCUUGUUUGUGUGGUAGUGGCUUACCAAGGCUUUGACGGGUAGCCUGCCUGAGAGGGUGACCGGCCACAUUGGGACUGCGAGACGGACCAGAAUCCUACGGGAGGCAGCAGUGGGGAAUAUUGCACAAUGGGCGGACGCGUGAUGCAGCAACGCCGCGUGCGGGAUGACGGCCUUCGGGGUGUAAACAGAUUUCGCAUGUGACGAAGAGUGAGUGACGGUAAUGGGUAAAGAAGCACCGGCUAACUACGUG
rnacentral:rRNA from 1 species